UACGAAGGGGGCUAGCGUUGCUCGGAAUCACUGGGCGUAAAGCGCACGUAGGCGGCUUCUUAAGUCAGGGGUGAAAUCCUGGAGCUCAACUCCAGAACUGCCUUUGAUACUGAGGAGCUUGAGGCCGGGAGGGGGUAGCGGAAUUCCCAGUGUAGCGGUGAAAUGCGUAGAUAUUGGGAGGAACACCGGUGGCGAAGGCGGCUACCUGGACAAUUGCUGACGCUCAGGCACGAAAGCGUGGGGAGCAAAAGGG
rnacentral:rRNA from 1 species